GGGCAUGCGGAAUUACAAUUCAUGCAUGGUGCACCAGCUCCAGCUUCGUGCGCUAAACGUGGCUGAGCAAAUAUACAGUCACUUGACGCAUAAAACGAAUGCGGAUGAAUCAUCGGAACGGCUCAAUGACUAAUCGCACCAAUAAUUGGACUUUCAAACACAACAGUCCUAGUUUUAAAAGAUUACAAACACGCACAUAUCACACGUACACAUGUGGUCGCAUUUGGUUGCUAUUGGAAUAUCUCGCUCCCCUCUACCACAUUAUCCUGGCCCAGCCGCGUGGUAAAUAAUAAUCUCAUACUGAGUAGUGGGGAUACUCUUAAAAGCCAAACGAAGACAGAGACAAGUAGUAUCGUCGGUGUCAUGUCGGGGCCUUAGUGAAACGAGAUAGUUUUCACUGUGUUUGUAUAGAUUGCAUGUUUGAAUUUUGUAAAAAUGUAUUUAUAACUUGAAAGGAAUAAACAAAUUCUCCUUUUGAUCCAU